rnacentral:lncRNA from 1 species
CGCUCAUCCUCUCAAGCUCGGUAACACGCCCGAGCCCAAGCCUCGCCCCUCCUCCCAGGCUCGGGACCACACCCGAGCCCAGGAUCUACCCCCGCUCCCCUUCACAGGCUCGGGACUACACCGAGCCCAAGACAUGCCCCCACUCCCUUUCCCAGGCUCGAGACCACGUCCGAGCCCAGGACCAACCACCCCUCCCCUUCCUAGGCUUGGGACCACGCCCGAGCCUAGGACUCGCCCCCCCGCAUCCCCUUCCCAGUCUCGAAACCACGCCUGAGCCCAAGACUCCCUCUCUUACAUACCGAGCCCAGGACCCUUUCUUCCCAGGCUCGAGCCUAGGAUUUCUAGGCUCGGGACCGCGCUCGAGGCUAGAAUUUUCGAGCUCGAAACUAUGCCUAAGCCCAUGACUCUACCUACACUUCCUAGGCUCAAGACCACGCCCAUGCCUAGGACGCCCCCUGUAUCCCCUUCCUAGUCUCGAAACCACGCCCGAGCCCAAAAAUCCCUCUCUUACAUCCCGAGCCAAGGAUCCUUUCUUCCCAGGAUCGAAACCACACUCGAGCCUAGGAUUUCCAAGCUCGAGACUACACUCGAGGCUAGAAUUUUCAAGCUCGAGACUAUGACUGAGCCCAGGACUCUCCCUACACUUCCUAGGCUCAAGACCACGCCCAUGCCCAGGACCCUCCUUUCCCAGGCUCGGGACCAAGCCCAAGCCCAAGCCCAAGCCCAGGACCCUAAACCCACCCUACACCCCCAACCCUCAAACCAUACCAACCAAAUCAACCCAACUUACUACCCCCCCUACCCACCUAUCUAACCCACUAACUUAAUCCCAACCCGUCUAACCCUCAGCCUAGAGCUACGAAAAUAAUAAACCAUAUAGAAAGGUACUCAC